rnacentral:rRNA from 1 species
CCCGCCGCGCCCCGCGCCCGUCCCGCCGCCCCCGCCCGACGGGGUGCAGCAGGCGCGAAAACUUCACACUGCAGGAAACUGUGAUGAGGGAACUCCAAGUGCGUGCACAUAGUGUGCGCUUUUGUUGACUAUUAAUCGGUCANNGAAUAAGGGCUGGGAAAGACCGGUGCCAGCCGCCGCGGUAAUACCGGCAGCUCAAGUGGUCGUCGCUUUUAUUGGGCCUAAAACGUCCGUAGCCUGUUUGGUAAAUCUGUGGGUAAAUCAACCAGCUUAACUGGUUGAAUUCUGCAGAGACUGCCAGACUAGGGACCGGGAGAGGUGUGGGGUACUCNCGGGGUAGGGGUAAAAUCCUGUCAUCCUUAGAGGACCACCAGUUGCGAAGGCGCCACACUGGAACGGAUUCGACGGUCAGGGACGAAGCCUAGGGGCACGAACCGGAUUAGAUACCCGGGUAGUCCUAGGUGUAAACGCUGUGAACUUGGUGUCGGGGAUCCGUCAUGGGUCCCNGNU